rnacentral:rRNA from 1 species
AAUACGUUCCCGGGCCUUGUACACACCGCCCGUCACACCACGAAAGUCGGCAACACCCGAAGCCGGUGGCCCAACCCUUUUGGGAGGGAGCCGUCGAAGGUGGGGUCGGUGAUUGGGGUG